rnacentral:rRNA from 1 species
AGUAACACGUGGAUAACCUACCUAUAAGACUGGGAUAACUUCGGGAAACCGGAGCUAAUACCGGAUGAUAUUUUGAACCGCAUGGUUCAAAAGUGAAAGACGGUCUUGCUGUCACUUAUAGAUGGAUCCGCGCUGCAUUAGCUAGUUGGUAAGGUAACGGCUUACCAAGGCAACGAUGCAUAGCCGACCUGAGAGGGUGAUCGGCCACACUGGAACUGAGACACGGUCCAG